rnacentral:rRNA from 1 species
AUUGAACGCUGGCGGCAGGCUUAACACAUGCAAGUCGAGCGGAGCGAGGGUGCUUGCACCUUAGCUUAGCGGCGGACGGGUGAGUAAUGCUUAGGAAUCUGCCUAUUAGUGGGGGACAACAUUCCGAAAGGGAUGCUAAUACCGCAUACGCCCUACGGGGGAAAGCAGGGGAUCUUCGGACCUUGCGCUAAUAGAUGAGCCUAAGUCGGAUUAGCUAGUUGGUGGGGUAAAGGCCUACCAAGGCGACGAUCUGUAGCGGGUCUGAGAGGAUGAUCCGCCACAGUGGGACGGAGACACGGCCCAGACUCCUACGGGAGGCAGCAGUGGGGAAUAUUGGACAAUGGGCGGAAGCCUGAUCCAGCCAUGCCGCGUGUGUGAAGAAGGCCUUUUGGUUGUAAAGCACUUUAAGCGAGGAGGAGGCUACUAGUAUUAAUACUACUGGAUAGUGGACGUUACUCGCAGAAUAAGCACCGGCUAACUCUGUGCCAGCCGCCGCAGUAACAC